rnacentral:sRNA from 1 species
UUCUGCGGAAGGACGGGCGCCCCGCGGAU